UAAAGAGUUUAAUGCUUUGCUAAAUCGGAAGUUUGCAUUCAAGAUAGCCAUAGGUUCUUAUAACCUCAAAAACAAAGCAGAUGGCUACUCUGUUUCAAAGUUGACUGAAAAUCCAACAGUCAUGUCCGAGCUUGAUCACCAUUUUGAUGCUAUGCAGCCUGUGGAGGAGGAACCGUUAAACGUUGUUUCUGCUGAUUCAAAUCCAACUGUUAAGGUUCAUGUUAAGGAUUCUGUUUCCCGUACGGGUGAUGAUGAGACUCCGAUUUCUAAGUUGAACAAGAGCAUGUUUACCACACCCUCUGGUCCUG